rnacentral:rRNA from 1 species
UACGGAGGGGACUAGCGUUGUUCGGAAUUACUGGGCGUAAAGCGCACGUAGGCGGAUUUGUAAGUCAGGGGUGAAAUCCCGAGGCUCAACCUCGGAACUGCCUUUGAUACUGCAAAUCUCGAGUCCGGAAGAGGUGAGUGGAAUUCCUAGUGUAGAGGUGAAAUUCGUAGAUAUUAGGAAGAACACCAGUGGCGAAGGCGGCUCACUGGUCCGGUACUGACGCU